AACGAACGCUGGCGGCAGGCUUAACACAUGCAAGUCGAACGCCCCGCAAGGGGAGUGGCAGACGGGUGAGUAACGCGUGGGAACAUACCCUUUCCUGCGGAAUAGCUCUGGGAAACUGGAAUUAAUACCGCAUACGCCCUACGGGGGAAAGAUUUAUCGGGGAAGGAUUGGCCCGCGUUGGAUUAGCUAGUUGGUGGGGUAAAGGCCUACCAAGGCGACGAUCCAUAGCUGGUCUGAGAGGAUGAUCAGACACAUUGGGACUGAGACACGGCCCCAACUCCUACGGGAGGCAGCGGUGUGGAAUAUUGGACAAUGGGCGCAAGCCUGAUCCAGCCAUGCCGCGUGAGUGAUGAAGGCCUUAGGGUUGUAAAGCUCUUUCACCGAUGAAGAUAAUGACGGUAGUCGGAGAAGAAGCCCCGGCUAACUUCGUGCCAGCCGCCGCAGUAAGAC
rnacentral:rRNA from 1 species